rnacentral:misc_RNA from 2 species
CCCAACUAUCCCUAUUAAUCAUUACGGUGAUCCUAGAAACCAACAAAAUAGAAUCAUGCCGUCCUAUUUUAUUAUUCCAUGCUAAUGUAUUCAAGCAAAAUGCCUGCUUUAAACACUCUAAUUUUUUCAAAGUAAAGGUCCUGGUUCCCCGCGACACCCAAUUAAGGGCAUCGCGGUUCUCCAGAAGGUGAGAAAUUGACUACACCAGUUCAUACCCCUUAAGGCACGACCGAUGUGUCAAUCCCGAAAUUCAACUACGAGCUUUUUAACUGCAACAACUUUAAUAUACGCUAUUGGAGCUGGAAUUACCGCGGCUGCUGGCACCAGACUUGCCCUCCAA